UACGAAGGGGGCUAGCGUUGCUCGGAAUCACUGGGCGUAAAGGGCGCGUAGGCGGCCGAUUAAGUCGGGGGGGAAAGCCUGUGGCUCAACCACAGAAUUGCCUUCGAUACUGGUUGGCUUGAGACCGGAAGAGGACAGCGGAACUGCGAGUGUAGAGGUGAAAUUCGUAGAUAUUCGCAAGAGCACCAGUGGCGAAGGCGGCUGUCUGGUCCGGUUCUGACGCUGAGGCGCGAAAGCGUGGGGAGCAAACAGG
rnacentral:rRNA from 1 species